rnacentral:lncRNA from 1 species
ACCUCAGGGCCUUUAUAGCUCUUCUUUUCUUUGCCUGGCAUGCACUUGGCCCAAAUAGCUACAUGGCUCACUCCCUCAUUUCUUUCAGGUUUCUGCCCCAAGGUUUCUUACUGGAGAGUCAUUCGAUGACUACCCUAUAUAAUAGCAACCUCUCCUACCAUGCCAGCACCCUGUCCCCUUGGCCCUGCUUUACUGUUCUUCAAAGCAUUUAACACACCUGAUAUUCAUUUUCUGUCUCCCCCAACUAGAAUGUAAAUGCCACAAGGAAGGGACUUGGUCUGUUUUGUUCACUGCUGUAUCCCUAGUGUCAAGAACGGCGCCUGGCACAUGGUUGAUGUGCAAUGCAUUGUUGAAUGAAUGAACAGGAAUGGUGGAUAAGUGGAGCCAAUUAGAGAGCAGUGACUAUCACACUAAGUUGCAUGAAUCUUUUCUAAAAAGUUAACCGUUAAGGUCUUUAAUUAAGGGAAUGGACUAUAAAACCAGCGUUAUAGAAAGAUUAAACUGGUGGAGCUGGGAAUGAUGAGUUAGAGGGAAAGUGACACCAGAAAGAAGGAAAACCUAUUAGAAGGCCAUUGCAUUUACUCAGCCACAUUACGAUGAGGGCCUAGUGGUAGCAAUCAGGAUGCCCAAGAUUGGAGAGAAUAUAUAUUGUACAAGUAGCUGCCAGAUGCAUGAAGAGCCAUGACAUGACUUAAACUCCAUUCAGGCAGAUACACAUUACCCACGCCACAUUUCCUGACACACUCCACAUCCUGCAGAUGGCCCAGCCUUUACAGACCUCCUGCUCAGACGGCUACUGUGACAUCUGCACAUGUUCUUCCCAUGUUUCUGCAGCUUUGUUCCAUCCCACAUGUGGCCAUUGGGAAAGUUUUCCUCAAAAAAAAAAGUGAUCAUCCUUGGAUACAAUUAACAGUAUCACCACCUGUCAAUGGCUUUACCUCCUUCCUGUUGUUACAAAGCCAUUUUUAAAAUCUAAAGUAAUUAGCAGUAUGCAUUAAUUUACGGUUAAAAGGAAACAAAGGGCCUCUAAAAAGUGGGAUCAUAUCACUCACUUAUUUCAAUAAACAAAUCAGUCACUUGUUUCUAUAAACAAACCCACAGUAUUUCUGUGUUACACUUUAAAUCUAGAACUGGGGGAGUCUCUGAGCCUCAUCUGGCUCAGGAGGCUUCCCAAAAAAACAAAAAAAUAAAUCUAGAACUAGGCUUGGCCUUCAAGAUUCAGUAACAGUUUUUUGAAGCCCAACCCUAGUUCUAGAUUUAGUUUUUAUUUCUCCCUCAUUCUUUCAACUCCCAUUCUCUCACUAUGCUAAGGAAAUAGUGUCAUUUAGGAAUACCACUAUUAAAGUGCACAUUCACCACUGCCACCCCCACCACACAAAUAAGAUGGAUAUUAUUUAUUUAUUUAUUUAGGGGCAGAGUCUUGCUCUGUUGUCCAGGCUGGAGUGCAGUGGUGCAACCUCGGUUCACUGCAACCUCCACCUCCCAGGCUGAGGCAGGAGAAUGGUGUGAACCCAGGAGACGGAGCUUGGAGUGAGCCGAGAUCGCGCCACUGCAGUCCAGCCUGGGCGACACAGCAAGCAAGACUCUGUCUCAAAAAAAAAAAAAAAAAAAAAAA